rnacentral:lncRNA from 1 species
UUUUUUAAGGGUAAUUUUGUAACUUCAGUUCCAUCGCCAUUGACAUGAGCGGUGAUAAAACAAUCUGGCAAUCUGCCACUAGAUCACUCACCCUCACAGUCAGACUCUGCAAGCUUUCAUAGUCAAUGGCUUCACAUGAUCAUCAUACGCAUGACCACGCCCACCAUCAUCAUCAUGACAAUGAUCAUGAUCAUACCCAUGAGUAACUCAUCUCUCAGAUUUGAUUUCUUUUGAUUUUUUUCCUCAUUUAUAUCUUCUCUUCGUGGAAAAUAUUACUAAUAGUUUCAUUUAACAGAAAAAAUCAUGGUGAUUCAACAGCAACAUCAUGGGUGGGGUCAGAGGGGAGGGUGUAUCAUAGCCAUGAUGGACUGGCGCCACACUCGCACGAACCCAUUUACUCUCCAGGCUAUUUCAGCAGAAGAGCUCCGCCUAUUCUCAGCAGAAAUUUCAAUGAGAGAGCUUUUACCGUUGGCAUUGGUGGCCCUGUUGGUACUGGGUAUUUUCACCUUCUCUUUCAAAUUUUUAAUUUGACUUUUUUCUUCUGCUGUACGGCCAAGGCGGAUGCACGGUACAGCAGUGGAAUAUUGCUUUCAAUUAGUUUGGCCCGGUUAAUAUAAUGCAUACUCUCUUGAAUCAUAAUAUCGUCUGGGUUACUGUUGCUGAUAUUAGUUUUUUCAAAAAAAAAUUUUUGCACAUGUUUAGAAAUUGAUUUAAUGUUGUUGAUCUGUUAACCCCGAAUGUAGAAUUUCAAAGUGUAUUUAAUUGGAUUUGUGGGCAACUGUUAUUUAUUCUUUGUUUUUGUAAAUUUUUCUAUUUUGUUUGGCUGUCUUUCUUGUGAGUUUGUGAUUAUUGUUGCUAGUCUCAAGAAAGAAAUAAAAUAUAUGGGUAUUGCUGCGUCAUGCCUUGCAGGAAAACAGCUUUAAUGCUGGCUUUGUGUAAAUUCUUGCGGGACAAGUACAGUCUUGCAGCUGUAAGUACUGAUGAACUUUUGGGAUUCAUUUCAAUUAUCGUGUCCAUAUAGCUUGCUUAUUAUUCCAUUCCAAUUUGAAGAAGAAAUGAUGAAGUGACAUCCGGAAAAAAUGAGUUCUAAAAAGAAGGAAAAUGAUGUCAAUACUGAAGCAUAUGGAACUUUUUAUGUUCCUACUGAGUUCCUUUAUAUCCGUAGCGGAAUUGCUAGCUUCACGAGUCUGGACACAUAAUUUAAGUUUAGAUUCUCUGUUCUAAUUCAGCUUCUUUUCUGUUGUAUUUGAGAGGCAGAGAGGAACUGGUGUACUUCACUGUCCAGUAACUCAAUUUGAAAAUUGUUUGCACAUUUUAAGAACAAUUGUUUCUUUGAGAUCAGCCACAAUCUCCCAAGAACUUACUGAAAAAUGGGUUAAUAAUCAUCCCUGAUAAUUUUCUCCUGUUAAUUUUAUCAUUCCAAUGACUAAUUGAAGUUGAAUGAUAGAUUAAGAAGCGUAUAUUAUACUUCAGGUCACAAAUGAUAUUUUCACAAAAGAAGAUGGUGAAUUCCUGAUGCGGAAUGGUGCUCUGCCUGAGGAGAGAAUACGUGCUGUGGAAACAGGUGGAUGUCCUCAUGCUGCAAUUCGUGAAGACAUCAGCAUCAAUCUGGGCCCUCUCGAGGAACUUUCUAACUUGUUCAAAGCAGACCUACUUCUUUGCGAAUCUGGGGGAGGUAAUUUGUAGUAAAUACAUUUCCAAUCUGCGUUUUUUCGUUCGGGCAAUCUGGCUAAACUUUAAAUUGAACCAAUGAAAACUAUUGAGGAAGUUGGCUCAUCUUUAUGUGCCAGUUGGUAGAGGUGCUUGUAUCCGAACAUAUUUGUAAUGCUCAUGAUAUAAUAUGCUUAAGUCGUAGAAACUGCUUUUUCCAAAAAUUUUUGUAAGGUGUCAUGAAUGUUAAUCUCAGUUACAACUAAGCAUGAGAAGAUUCAUAGAUAACAAAAUUUGUGUGCAUGCAGAUAAUUUAGCUGCCAACUUCAGCAGGGAACUUGCAGACUAUAUCAUUUAUAUAAUAGACGUUUCUGGUGGUGAUAAAAUUCCUCGGAAAGGUGGCCCAGGCAUCACCCAAGCUGACCUUCUGGUAUGAUUCCAUAAAUCAGUAGCAGUUUUUAUUGCUGCUAUGGCAUCCCUUGUUUGUCAAUGAGAAUGAGUUGUUGCAUCUUGUCGUAGGUGAUAAACAAAACUGACCUUGCUUCAGCAAUAGGAGCUGACUUAGCAGUAAUGGAGCGUGAUGCACUCCGGAUGCGUGAUGGAGGGCCUUUUAUCUUCGCUCAGGUGGGUUGGGUCAUUGGUAUCAUUUUUACAUUAAGCAUAACUCAUUACAUAGUUUCGUGAAGUCUCUUCUGGACAAAUUGUGAACCGUGCAUAAUCUGGACAAAUUGUUGAACUGUGCAUACUCUCUUCUUCGUGUCAUAUAUGAUUUUAUGUGCAAUGAAAUUCUGCUUACCGUCAAGUUAACCCCAAAUGAUUACAUGAAUGUUUACAAGAGGUAAUGAUAUUUUCUAAGAAGAGAGACCUAUAGCAAAUUGUCGGCAAAGGCCCCACCCAAUCUGAUGAUAUCAAGUUCGCUAUAUGUUCUGAUAAUCUCGUAGUUUAUGAGAUGAGCUUUUCUUGAACUGUUAGAUUGUUCCUUUUCUUGAUCUGAAACACAGUUGGAUGCCUGUAAGAUUACGUGAUCUCAACAUAUUUUCCUUGUUAAUGAUUUGCGUGAAUUAUAAGCCUACAGGUCAAGCAUGGGCUUGGUGUGGAGGAAAUAGUGAAUCACAUUUUACAGGCUUGGGAAGCAUCAACAGGGAAGAAGCGGCGUUGAUACCACUUCUCUGAAGUUGUUUUAGUUUGUUGUCUUGUAUUUUAUUAGUUUCAGCACAAACCGUCCUCGUCAAAAUUUUUUAUCAGGUUUCUGGUUUCAACUCAUCUGAUAACUUUUUAUUCUCAAUGAUUUUAACAAUUGAAGUGGCUGCUUGAUCUGUUCGCACGGUGCAUGCUCCUGCCACUUGGAAAUCUCGUAGUUUGUGAAGAUUCUUGAUGACCCCAGACCGGAUUUGAUGUGGCUGUCCCGUUAUUUGACGAGACAAACAUUCUUCAUUCAAUUUAUUUGACAAUAUUGAAGCGUGGGCGAAUAAACGUUGGAGCUAUUAAAAAGCUAGGCAAGCGACCCCUGAUCAUGUGAGGCAUGUCCAAUAUGAUAAUCCUUGUCUUAAUUAACUCAUUAAAAUCUAUAAUGCUGGUAGUUAUUAAAUUGUCUUUGGAAACAUGAUAAUCUCUCAUGUUUUAAAAGACAAACAUGUGGAGUCAAUGGGACGGAGAAGUACGCAAGCCGCCUGCUCUGAUUGGCCAUUUAGCUAUCUUAGCAAAGUAGCUUGAGAAACCAUCAUGGCUAAAGAGCAAAUCAGGUGUGUGAACUUAUUUAGCUCCCAUUGUGACGUGGCAAGAAAUAAUUGCUGGGCUAACUCUAUGAAUAGCGUGGCAAGUUCCAUUUGUUCAAAACUUCAAAUUAUCUCUUUGGUUUUAUACAUACAACUAAUUAGUACGCAAUUAGUUCUGAUUUCUCUUUUUGCACUCAUAGAUAUGAUAAAUCGUCCCCCCUCACAGAGUGUAGUGUGUGUGUGUAUAUGUACGUAUGUAUGUAUAAAUAGGAUAAGGUUUUCUAGAAUUAUUUCAAAUAAUUAAGCAGGCCAAUCGCCUACUAACAUAUGGAAGGAUGAUAAUGCAAAUUAGAUAUUUUAGGUGGUAUGCCAACUUGUGGAGAAAUUCUGGAAUACAUCUUAUAUAUUGCAACCAAUUGAUGUAUACAUACAUGUGUAAUUGAAUUUAAUAUAACCACCACUAGCAUGAUGAUUUUUCAAAAUAAAUGCACACAUGUCACAACAUCAUUUACUUGUUGUAUGAUUGAUAUAGUACUUCUGAUGUAUUUUAAAAUUUCUCCAACUUGUGAGGUGAGGAGAGAUGUCUUACCCCUCAUAAUUAAUAUUGUAUGCAUGUUAAUGGAGCUGAACAUAUAUGCUUGUAUAACCAACCAUAUAAUAUAAUUCAUUUUAAAAGCCACAUAAGAAAACUGUAAUUUUUAAUCGAGUAUAUGUUUAUGCCCGUAUAGAUGAGGAUGACUAUGACUUUAGCUUGUGUAAUAUUAAUGCUAUUAGAACUUGCCUGGUAAUAUAAAUGUUAUAAUUUUUUUUUCUUUUUAAUUUUUGGCAAAUCUCGACCUAACUCGUUCCUUAGUGUCUCAUGAUAAUAUAUAUGUAUACUAUCAAUUUAUGUUUAUAAUAAAUGUUUCACUAAUAUAUACAUACACAAGCACACACCCCACAAUAAUUAAUCUUUCUUAACUAUUGUUGUUAGUAAUAAUGCACGAAAGUCGAAACCGCCUGAAACGUCCCUUCAUCACCUGCUCGCUUCAUGCACUUUCAUCGGCUGAUGCUACAAUACCUGCAUAUAUCGGAUACAUGCAUGAAAAAUUACCGUUGGAUUAAGUGGAGUGGAUCCAAUGGCUGAGAUUCAUUUUAGUAUUAAAUAAUAAAAAAUUUACAAGGAAAGGGAACCUGUAAAAUCGGUAAAUGAAACAAACAAAAAGUCCUCACCACUCACUCCUCACCUCGCGAUCACAGCUCACCCUCAGCUCACGUCUCCAUCUCCACUGUCUCCCGCUUCACUCACACGCCAAACGCCUCACCACGGCCAUCAACAGCGCCGCAAGUCGGCAAUGAUUAACGGCGGCGACUGAAGGAGUUCCUAGGCAACGAUCAACGGCGGCACAAGCACGGGCUGAUCUCCUUCUUCGGCAACGAUCAACGGCGGGGUUGCUGAUCUUCCCUAUCCUUGGUGGACUUCAACUCUGUCCCUGCCUUGUGGGUCGUUGAUGAUGUUGAUUUCAUGGACUACCAGAAUUGCGGAGCCUCCAAAGACUGGUCUUGAGUUUUGGAAGACUUUGUUUCUCGUAAGUACUGUGAUGGGUUUUGUUUUGAAACUAAAGGAACGUGGAAUUUAGGUCAAUAAACAUGAAACAUGUCAUUAUUAACUUACAACCAUGAAAAUUAUUUAAUUAAUGGACUAAUAAAAAUAAAAUAAUGACCAUUAACUUGAUAUCUCAGCCAUUAAACAUGAAACCAAUGAAACUUGAAAUUUAGGGCAAUAGACAUAAAAUAUGUUAUCAUUAAUUUGAAACCAUGAAAAUCAUUUAAUUAAUAAACUUGAAACUUAGGGCAAUAAACAUGAAACAUGAGAUCAUUAACUUGCAAUCAUGAAAAUCAUUUAAUAAUGGAUCAAUAAACAUGAAAUCAUGACCAUUAACUUGAUAUCUAAACCAUUAAAUUUGAAAAGUAUGAACUUGAAACUUAGGGCAAUAAACAUGAUACAUGAGACCAUUAACUUGCAACCAUGAAAAUUAUUUAAUUAAUGAACUUGAAACUUGGGGCAAUAAACAUGAAACAUGAGAUUAUUAACUUGUAACCCUGAAAAUCAUUUAUUUAAUGGAUCAAUAAACAUGAAACCAUGACCAUUAACUUGAUAUAUAAACUAUUAAACUUGAAAAGUGUGAACUUGAAACUUAGGACAAUAAACAUGAUACAUGAGACCAUUAACUUGCAACCAUGAAAAUUAUUUAAUUAAUGAACUUGAAACUUGGGGCAAUAAACAUGAAACAUGAGAUUAUUAACUUGUAACCCUGAAAAUCAUUUAUUUAAUGGAUCAAUAAACAUGAAACCAUGACCAUUAACUUGAUAUAUAAACUAUUAAACUUGAAAAGUGUGAACUUGAAACUUAGGACAAUAAACAUGAUACAUGAGACCAUUAACUUGCAACCAUGAAAAUUAUUUAAUUAAUGAACUUGAAACUUGGGGCAAUAAACAUGAAACAUGAGAUUAUUAACUUGUAACCCUGAAAAUCAUUUAUUUAAUGGAUCAAUAAACAUGAAACCAUGACCAUUAACUUGAUAUCUAAACCAUUAAAUUUGAAAAGUAUGAACUUGAAACUUAGGGCAAUAAACAUGAUACAUGAAACCAUUAACUUGCAACCAUGAAAAUCAUUUAAUUAAUAAACUUGAAACUUAGGAUAAUAAACAUGAAACAUGAGAUCAUUAACUUACAACCCUGAAAAUUAUUUAUUUAAUGGACCAAUAAACAUGAAACUAUGACCAUUAACUAUUAUUGCUUGUUGCCAAUAAGUUUCUGAUUAGGUAAUAAUCAGAUAGGUAAAGUCUUAUUUUAUAAUAAUUAUAGGUACAAGAGUCAAGGAAGAGGCAAGUGUAAUACGCAACGGUUUAUGGCCUCUAUAAAGGACAAGGCUACGUUACAGACUCUGUAUGUAACAACCCAGUGUAAAUUGACCUUGUAUCGGGUGAGUUCCAACAACUUUUCCUCUCUCCUGCAAUGCGUGGAUGCUCUUCAUUUGUGUCAAAUGAGGUGGGCCACUCUUCCUAGAAGAGCAAGAACUUUACAUUCAUUUUUUGACAUUUGCUAAGGGCGACACCAACCAUAUUAAAAAAAAAAAGAGGAUAGAACACGGCUUUGAAAAAGUCACAAGAAGGAAAAAAAGAAAAUAUUAAAAUAAUAGCCAAUUUUGGCUAUAUAAAGGAAGCCCCCCAUUUUGGGUUUAGCAUUCAGUUUUUAUGAGAAGCAAUUCCUAUAUUUAAGAGAGCAGAGAAUUUUGUAGAGCUUAAAUAAUAAAGCUCUUAUUUUAGUGUUUUGAGAGUUUGGGUGUAUUGGGGGUUUUGGGAAGUGAGCUAAAAUACUGCAAUACUUGUAACUAAUUUUCACUAGUAAAAUAUUUUCCUUCUGUCUUCGCCCGUGGACGUAGGAUAAAAGCCAAACCACGUAAUUUCCUGAUUUCCUUUUUGUAUGGACUAGAAAGCCAGCUGAUUACUCGUACCUACAUGCAUUUGGAUGUCAUGUGUACGUGAUGUACAAUGCCCAAGAAAGAACAAAACUGGAUCCAAAAUUUAGAAGAUGUACCUUCUUGGGAUAUGCUGAUGGAGUAAAGGGGUAUCGUCUGUGGGACCCUACUGCCCACAAGAUCGUCAUCAACAAAGAUGUUAUCUUUGUAGAAGAUCAACUACAAAGGAGAUAUGAGGAUGAUAGCACUAUAAAAGAAAAAUCAGAGACUGUACCGGUAUAUGUAAAAAAUAAUUUGGGGGGAGAAGAUUCAGAUUCUUCUGAAGCAGCACCAGAGCACGAGCAACAAGAACUAGUCGAGUCCGAGGCUCCAGAAGUUUGUCGAUCAACUCGUGAGAGACGACCGUCGGCGUGACACUCGGAGUAUGUCAAAGAGAUCAAUGUUGCGUACUGUCUUCUAACAGAUGAUGGAGAGCCAUUAACUUUCCAUGAAACUUUAAACAACUCAGAUGUUGUUUUGUGGAUGACAGCAAUGUAGGAAGAAAUUGAAGCUCUACACAAAAAUAAGACAUGGGAACUUGUACCAUUACCACAUGGAAGAAAAGCUAUUGGAAAUAAAUGGGUCUACAAGAUCAAACGUGAUGACAAUGACUAAGUGGAGCGGUAUCGUGCAAGAUUAGUGGUGAAAUGAUAUGCUUAGAAAGAAUGUAUUGACUUCAACGAGAUAUUUUCUCCGGUGGUUCGACUCACAACAGUCAGAAUAGUUUUGACAAUGUAUGCUACAUUUGACCUACAUCUAGAGCAAUUAAAUGUGAAAACUGCAUUUUUUCAUUGAGAACUUGAAGAAGAAAUUUAUAUGCUCCAACCAGAAGAUUUUUCUGAAAGAGGAAAGGAGAACUUAGUUUGUAGGUUGAACAAAUCUCUAUACGGUCUCAAACAGGUGUCGAGGUGUUGGCAUAAGAGAUUUGAUUCCAUCAUCAUGAGCCUUGGAUACAACAGACUCAGUUAAGACCAUUGUGCAUAUUACAAGAGAUUUGAAGAUAAUGAUUUCAUCAUUUUACUGUUGUAUGUGGAUGACAUAUUGUAAGCAGGCCCUAACAAAGAUCGAAUCCAAGAAUUAAAGGCACAGUUGGCUAGGGAGUUCGAAAUGAAGGACUUGGGACCAGCAAACAAGAUUUUAGGGAUGCAAAUUUACUGAGACAGAAAUAACAAGAAGAUUUGGCUUUCUCAGAAGAACUACUUGAAGAAAAUCUUGUAACACUUCAACAUGCACGAUUAUAAGCCAAUUUCUACCCUACUUCCUGUUAAUUUCAAAUUAUCUUCAAGUAUGUGUCCUAGCAAUGAAGCAGAGAGGAAGGAGAUGUCUCAAGUACCAUAUGCAUCAGCGGUGUGAAGUUUGAUGUUCGCUAUGAUAUGUACUAGACCGGACAUUGCACAAGUAGUAUGAGCAGUCAGUCGAUACAUGGCAAAUCCUUGUGGAGAGCAUUGGAUAAUUGUAAAGAGGAUUCUGAGAUAUAUCAGAGGAACCUCAGAUGUUGCAUUAUGUUAUGGAGGAUCAGAAUUUACUGUUAGGGGCUACGUGGAUUCAGAUUUUGCAGAAGACCUUGAUAAAAGAAAAUCCACUACUGGCUAUGUGUUUACACUUGCAGGAGAAGCUGUAAGCUGGAUUUCAAAACUACAGACUGUUGUGGCUUUAUCUACAACAGAAGCAGAAUACAUGGCAGCUACACAAGCUUGCAAGGAAGCUAUUUAGAUACAAAUAAUAAAGGUUAUUGGAUGAGCUCGGGCACAAAUAAGAGAAAAUUUUUGUGUUUUGUGACAGUCAGAGUGCCUUGCAUAUUGCAAAGAAUCCACCCUUUCAUUCUAGGACAAAACAUAUAGGAGUUCAGUAUCACUUCGUUCGAGAAGUAGCGGAAGACGGAAGUGUGGAUUUACAAAAAAUUCAUACCAAGGAAAAUCUAGCAGAUGUUUUAACCAAGCCAAUCAAUGCUGACAAGUUUAUUUGGAGUAUAUCCUCUUGUGGCCUAGCAGAAACAUAGGCAACAUGACAAUGACGAAGCAUAAAGGAUGGUGUGGAGAUUGAUCGGUCCUCAAUCUAAUCUCCAAGUGGGAGAAUGUCAAAUGCGGUGGGCCACUCUUUCUAGAGGAGCAAGAACUUCACAUCCAUUUUUUGACAUUUGCUAAGGGCGGCGCCAACCAUAUUAAAAAAAAAAGAAGGAUAGAACAUGACUUUGAAAAAGCCACAAGAAGGAAAAAAAGAAAUUAUUAAAAUAAUAGCCAAUUUUGACUAUAUAAAAGAAGCCCCCCAUUUUGGUUUUAGCAUUCAGUUUUUGUGAGAAGCAAUUCCUGCAUUUAAGAGAGCAGAGAAUUUUGUAGAGCUUAAAUAAUAAAGCUCUUGUUUUAGUGUUUUGAGAGUUUGAGUAUAUUUGGAUUUUGGAAAGUGAGCUAAAAUAUUACAAUACUUGUAACUCAUUUUCACUAGUAAAAUAUUUUCUUUCUAUCUUCGCCUGUGGACGUAUACUAAAAGCCGAACCACGUAAUUUCCUGCUAUCUUUUUUAUGUUUCUUCUUUAUUUUCUUCUAAUUUUAUUUUAAUUACGGCACUGCUUCACCCAUCAAUUUCCUAACAAAUUGCUAUGUUACAUACAGAGUCUAUAACAUAGCAAGGUCCCUCUAUAAAUUGUGGCACCCAGUGAAUUUGGACCAUACGAAGCAUACAAAUAAAUUGAGAAAGCGAGAGAGAAAAGACGUUUCAGGAGAAUUACUUUUUUAAUAAAUUAAUUAAUGGCUCAUCAACUGAUUGCUUCAGUGCCUGCUGCUAACUUCACGAGAUUGCAGCCUAGAAGUUGCAUCUCAUCAGUCGGAUCACUCAACAUCAGCAAUAGCAAUGGCUUUCGUGCAUCUCCGGUCCAAUGCACGGCUGCUAAUGCUACCAGCGUGUGUGAGAAGGCAAUUAGUAAUAGGCGAUCUGCCAAUUAUCAGCCUUCUAUGUGGGGCUACGAUUACCUUCAGUCUCUGUCAAAUGAAUAUGUGGUAUGCUUAAUAACUAUAGUGAUGAUUCAAUUAAUUAUUUGGAAUUGACGGGAUCUGCAUGUGAAGCUAAAACAAACUAAUGGUGUUCGUCUUUUGAUAAUCUUUGUAGGUAGAAUCAUAUGCCCAAAGGAUCGAAAAGCUGAAGGGAGAAGUGAGGUUAAUGCUUGAGAAUAAAGAGGUUGAUUACGUGGAUGCGUUACAUCAACUGGAGAUUGUUGAUAAUUUGCAAAGACUUGGAGUAUCCUAUCACUUUGAGGACGAAAUUAAAAGAUUUCUCAGUAGGAUAUAUAACGAGAGAAACAGUCGCAGCAGUUACCAUGCCAAGGAAAAACAAGAAAGUUCGUUAUAUGCCGUAGCUCUUGAAUUUAGACUCCUAAGACAGCAUGGUUUUGAUAUGCAUGCACAAGGUACGUACCCAAAUCCAAUGGAAGUUUUUGUUCUAUAUUUUAUUUUUGUUUUAUCUAUAUAUAUAUGUGUGUGUGUGAUUCAGAUGUACGUGUUGCUGUAGGAACUCUCUCUCUUUUCAUGGACGAGAAGGGGAAGUUGAAGUCAUGCCUCGGUGACGAUAUCAAAGGAAUUUUAGCACUGUAUGAAGCUGCAUAUCUUCUGGUAGAAGAAGAGAGCAAUAUCUUCAAUGAAGCUAUAAAUUUCACAACCACACAUCUCAAAGAAUACGUGAAGCACAAUAACAAUGAUGACGAUGGAUAUCUUUCAACAUUAGUGGAGCAUGCGUUGGAACUUCCAUUACAUUGGAGGAUGGUAAGAUUGGAGGCAAGGUGGUUCAUUGAUAUGUACCAAAGAGGGCCAGACGUGAACCAAGUCUUGGUAGAGCUUGCUAAAUUGGACUUUAAUGCUGUGCAAGCAGAGCACCAAGAAGAGCUCAAGUAUGUGUCGAGGUGGUGGAGGAAGACGGGUCUUGGAGAGUUGCAUUUUGCAAGGGACAGGAUAAUGGAGAAUUUCUUCUGGGCCUUGGGGGAGGUAUGGGAGCCUCAGUUCGGAUAUUGCAGAAGGAUGUCCACAAAGGCGAACGCAUUAAUUACGACUAUUGACGAUGUUUAUGAUGUGUAUGGUACCUUGGAUGAACUUGAGCUAUUCACAAAUGCUGUUGAGAGGUUAGUACACUACACGAGUCUUUACUUUUAUCAAACUCUCUCUCCCUCUCUGCAGUUAAAUUAGCUAGUUCUAUCAUAAAUAUUCAUCAAUUAAUUAAAAUAUAAUUGGGUUUGUAAUUAAUUAAUUUGAUUUCAGAUGGGAUGUCAACGCAAUGGAUCAACUUCCAUACUAUAUGAAGCUGUGUUUUCUUGUUCUCCAUAAUUCCACAAACGAAAUGGCUUUUGAUGUUCUCAAGAAGCAAGGAGUUCAUAUCAUUCCUUACCUUAAGAAAGCGGUAAUUAAUUAAUUUUAAUAAAUUAAUCUUCGAUGUAAUUUUUUUUUUUUUCAUUUUUAUGUUUUGCUACUGAUGAUGAUGAUGAUAAUUAUAAUAAUACUUGUAUUGCAGUGGGCAGAUAUGUGCAAAUCCUUUUUGUUGGAGGCCAAAUGGUACAGCAGCGGAUACAUCCCAACCCUUGAGGAAUACAUGGACAAUGCUUGGAUUUCAGUAUCAGGACCUGUAAUUCUGCUGCAUGCUUAUACUCUGAUUGCAAAUCCACCAACAAAGGAGGCCUUGCAAUUCUUAGAAGAAUACCCCAACAUAAUUCGUUGGCCAUCGAUGAUUUUUCGACUUGCAAAUGAUUUGGCAACAUCAUCGGUACGUUACAUCAUCUUAUAUAUUUUUAAUGAUUUUCAUUCUGUUCUAUUAGAUUAUAUGUUCCAAAGAAUUAAUUUAUGAUUCAUAUAAUAUAUGCGUGUAUAUAAUAAUAUAUAGUCUAAUGAAUUAAUAUUAAUUUCUUGCUUGAUUUAUCUUAGGAUGAGGUGAAACGAGGUGAUGUUCCUAAAGCGAUUCAAUGUUACAUGCAUGAAACUGGAGCUUCAGAAAGCGAUGCUCGUGAACACAUCAGAGAUUUGAUCACAGCAACAUGGAUGAAGAUGAACAGUAAAGAUGGAGAUGAAAAUCCUGAUCACUUAUUAUUGUCCAACAAUUUUAUCCGGUUUGCGAUUAAUCUAGCAAGAAUGGCUCAAUGCACGUACCAAAAUGGAGAUGGACAUACCAUUCAGCACAAAAGUAAAAAUCGUGUAUUGCCAUUACUUGUUCAUCCCGUUUCUUUAAUCAAUCUUUGAUUAAUUCUUGGCGAAAGACCAAGAGUGUUGAAGCGGAUGAUCAUAAAAACGUGCAACUAGAUUUCUUGGAGCUAGAGAUCUUAGAGUCAACUUUUUGGCUCUCCAUUUUGAGAAUAAGUAGCUCCCCCAAUUAAUUUCUUGUAGUUUCGUAGCUUCGUUAAUUAGCUUUAUAUUUGUCCUUUCCAAUAAAUGUUUCCAGGAUACUCUUGCUAUGCGGACAACUAGAUUUAAGCCCAAAAAGUGUACUCUAAUAAUUCUUUAAUAGAAAGCAAUGAUACAUAGUCAAUUUUUUUUUUUAAAUAUUGAUUUCCUUAUUGUUUAUUUAAGUAUUGAUUACUAUGCUGGAAAUAAAAAUUUUAAGAUUUAGGGCAUGAGAAUUAUAUAUUAAAUAUGUUAUAGGGGUGUUCAAAAUAAUUAUAUAAUACUAAUUUAUAAUAAAUUAUCUUUAAUAAUAAUUCAUAUAUUUAUAAUAGAUUUUUCUACUAAAAUUAGAAUGUUUAAAGUGUAAAUAAUCCCAUCAUUUUCCGUAAUAUAUAAGGAGAAUAAAUGAUUAAUAAAAUGAUAGCAACUCUUUUUCUCAAAUCAAUAGGUUGAACGCUUAUUCGCAACACAUUUAUUCUUAUUAUUUAAUAAAAUAGGUGAGGGUUAUAUACACUUAAAAAAUCAACCUUCAAAACUCAUUUUUUUAAUUAAAAUAUUAUUAAAAUACAAUAAUUUUUUUAAAUAACUUAAAAAUCACUCAGCCAACUGCAAAAAGUUAAAAUUUAAUAAAACUCAAAUAUUAGUUUUAUAUUUUUUAUAAGUCAAAAAUAGGUCAGAGUGUUAAUUUAGAAUAAUUUUUUGAAUUUACGAGGGCCGACGUGGCUUUAUUCGUACAAAACAAACGACAAGUCGUUUACAGAGGGCGGCGGUGAAAUUAACAAGAAAGGAGAGAAUCAGGCAGCAGCAGUGGCUCUCAUCUCAUCUCAUCUCUAUGAAACCCCAAUCGUGAAUCUCAAAGAAGACAAAUCAAAAUCAAAAUCAAGAGCAAAAAAUGGGUGAGGAACAGGAUCAGGAACAGGAGAGGAAGAAGAGAGUGGUGGUGGAAUCACUGGGAUGGCUGACGGAAUCAUCAAUAAUGCCGAAAAAGCAACGGUCGAUAGAAGGAGUGGGUCUCUCCUCCAUCUUGGAACUCAAGGCCCAGCUUUAUCAGUCUCAAGAAGAAUCUAGAAAAUCCAAGGAGUUGAAUGGCCCUGAUGUUGAGUUCCUUCGCGCCAAGAAGAAGAUCGCUCCACGCGAUUCUUUCUCCCUCAAGAACUCCGGCGUCGACGCCCGCUCUCUCAAGUACCUGCCCUCUUCUUUCUUAUUUAUUUAUUUAGUUAUUUCUUUUUUCAAGUUUCAAGAUUUAAUUAUUUAGGACUUGGCAUAAAUGAGGAUUAUCAGUUAGAACCCUAAUUUCGUUUAAUGUUUGAGCACUUAAAAUUUUGAUUUUUUUUUUUCAUUCAAUUUUCAGUGGUGGUUUUCAGUUAAUAAUAAACUGCCCCAAUAAUUGGCUUGGACUUUGGCGUAUUAAGCGAUUGCCUGUUUGAUUCUUUUACUAAGAUUAAUCAUGCUUGCUUGUGUAUAUACAUCUAGGGACAAGCUUGAGUUGAAAGCAGCUAAUGAUGGAUCAGCCAGCUAUGCUGCAUUAGAGAAGAAGGCUGAGUUAUAUGAGAAACUGCAGAGGGGAGAGCUAUCAGAUGAGGAAGACAAGGAGAAGUAUUGUGUUGACUUUUUCCGUAAGAGUACAGAGCUGGAAUCGCAGCAGCCACAUGGCUCUGAUGUUUCUUCUGCUGCACCAUCAGACAAUAAUGAACACGAGGACAAUGGUUCUAUGCUUUUCAACAUGAAGUUUGUUGCACCUGGGCGAACAUCUGGAACAAUGGACAACAGUGAACACAAGCGUUUUGUGAGGUAAAGCUUAAUUCUUUUCUUCUUCUUCUUCUUUUCUCCUCUAUCUUUCUCUCUGUUUGUAUGACAUUUGGUAUUGGGCAUACUGUGAAGGUAAACAUGAUGUGGGAGUUUUGACUCGCAAUUUUAAUAGUCUAUAUGGCACAGGUUCUGACUGUUAAAUUUGUGGGUAGGAGUCUAAUAUAUGGAUUGUUGCUUAUAUUUUAUCUAAAGAUACCAUUCAGUGGACUUAGAAUUGCUUGUGAACCUUGGUGGAACAGCCGCUAGCUCAUGCAACAGAAAUUAUGUAGUAAUAUAUCUCUAUAUUGUGCAAUUAAGCUACUAUAUAUUGUCAAUUGAAGAAACAAGGGUACAUUCCCGCUGUAGGCUUUCUUAGGUUGAUGUACAAGGUAUACCUUGUAGAAGGAAAAAUAAAAAGAAUUAACUGGAGGGGUGACAGGAGAAUAUGGCCAUAAUUGACAAGCCUGAGGACUGUCAUUUUUGUAAGUAGGUAACAAUAGAAAGAAUGUAAAUAAGUAUUUGUGAUAGGAAAACUGGAAAAAAUUGGGAAAGUAGGACAAGUAGAGCAAUUAUAAAAUGAGAGAACCAGAGAGUAAUUUGGAAAGAGGAUAUUCCUUUUGUAUUAUCUCCUGAUGGUGGUGUACUUGACUAACAUCCUGAGACAAACAAACAAUAUGCUAACAUAUAAUAUCAUGCAAAAGAAGAACAGAGCCAAUGAAAAUUGAAUAAUUGUUCAAAAUUCGAUUGUAAGAACAGUAAAUUUCAUAAAAUUAUUUUAUAUAACAGCUUUCGUACAUAAAAUUUGGUUCUUCUUCUUUUAUUGUUUGCUUUUAUUUUAUUUUAUCUGAUUGCAGUUAUUACAUACUAGGCUCUGUACAUCAUGCCGCUGAGAUCCAUACAACGAUUGAUUAGUGGUUUUCUUUCCAUUUCAGGGAAGUUCAUGAAGAAGUAAACCAAGCAAGAGAAAAGGCAUUUGAGCUGAAAUUGCGCAGGCAAGAACAAGCAGAAGCUCGCCGGGAGAAACUAAGAGAGGCCUAUCUUCGCAAAUUGUUGGAAAAGCAAAAGGCAGCAUCAAAUAUGGAACAGACAUGAAUCGAAAGUGAUGACAAUAUUUUUCCCGAAGUUGGCAUUGAUUUACCAGAUCAAUCAUUUCCCAAUCACGCUAAUGCCAUAAUUUUGGAGCUAAAUGUAUAUUUCAAUCUUUGAACUCUUGCUUUGUAUACUAACAGUUAUUUAAUAUUGUACAGUGUAGUCAUGUUUUACAUGAAAUAGAUGAUAGAUCGUAGAAGGAACAAUUUUGCACGUCUCAUUAAUGUUUCUGGCUGAUUUUAUGAACUAUUGAUGUCUUUCAACUGCUAAGUGCCAUCGAAUUCAUUUUGUACUUAAAAUCCAUUUCAGUAGCGGAUCAGGUUUUAUCGAUGAUCAUUUUGGUUCUAAAAUUCUCGAAAGUUAAAACAAUCAUCUAGCAGAAAGAUGUUAUUUCUUUAGAAUCUAUAAGUCGAGUAGGAAUGCCAAACCAAAUUCUCAGCCCAUUUUAUACCCAAGUUAUCUAUAAAUAUACGGGGCUGAAUAAAUCAUAUAUUGUAAUUACGUAUGCAUUAUUUUUGCUCCGCUGACCACAUGCCAGAUUUAAUAAACAUUGCCCAUUUUAUGUCUGUAUAUCGGUACCAAAAUCAGCUUGGUGAUACUUUCCCUGUGCCGAAAAAGCAGGCUUUCAAUUGAUUACGUUUACAGGUCACUUUUCUCGUAAUUUUUUGCUAUCAAAAUCAUGAUAAAUAUCAUAGACAGCAAAGUUUCUUAUAAGAUUACACAUAUUCACCAAAAACUAUUUAUAUAAUGUUGAACCAUCACAUGCUGCAACCUUAAUCCUCACUAUAACUAUCAAAAACAUGGCUGGAAGCUGGAAACAAUAGUAUUUAGGGCAUUUGCAUGAUUGGAAAGUGGUUACGUGCCAUUGAACAGUUUAAAUCCAGGCUGGUUUUAGAGGUUAAUGGAGUGAGAAACGAAAAAUUAUACGACUGACAGCGCAUCAUCUUCAAAUCAUUUUGUUUGUGGUUAAACCAACAUAGUAUAGUUGGCAGAUUCUUAAUUUUACGCUAAAACAGUACUAUAAAACCCAUACGCAGUCUCCAUUAUACUCGGCUACUCGCAGAGUCCAUAGAAUAUCACUUCCGCAACUUUCUCACUAGGUGAUCAGUUUCCAUUUUGUUCUUAACCAUUCGAGUACUUAGUGAGAGAAUGGAGGGUAGCAAAAUGAGCAUGGCUUUCACCAUCUACAUUAUGGUUCUUUCGGCUUUUGGCAUUUUUGUGGCCACGAACGCGGCCGAAGAUUUGGGAGGAAUCGCACCAGCACCAAUGGAAAGCACUGGAGCAGCUCUUCGUGUUCCUGUUUUGCCUGUUGCAGCCGUGGCUUCUCUUUUGGCUUGGUUCUUGUAAAUUUCUUCACUUGCUAUUUUGGUGUUCCUGUUUUGCUUGUUGCAGCCAUGGCUUCUCUUCUAGCUUGGUUUUUGGUUACUUCCUGACUAGUUUACCUCUUUCUUUGCAUAAGGUUUGCGUUUCAUUCCUGCGACUUUUAUUUUUUGAGAAUUUGAAUGCUCAUUAUCCAGAGCUUCUGAAUUAUCCUGUUAUAUCUUUUAUAUCCAAUAAAGAGAUUAGGACCCGCCUAUCGUUUUCAAUUAGUAUUACUACUGACACAGAUUCGCAUGGUGUCCAAUUCUAUUAGUCCGUAUUAGCCACUGAAGUUUUGAUUACCUGAUGCAUCAGAGACCAGAGAAUAAUUAAUUAUUGUUCUUUUUAGUAACUCAAAAGAAUCAGAGUUAUACUGAUACACAAUUUAAUCUUCCUAAGAUCUGGAACUCAUGAAACCAACGACAAAAAUCCAAAUGUACGAAGAUUCAGAACUCUGAGCUGGCAGACAAAUCACUGGCCAUAGAAUACUCGAAAGAAAUCUUAAUCAGAGCAUUCAGCAUAUGAAAGAUGAGGUUGGAAUGCUAUUUCGUAUGUUACCAACCCAAAAAAAAUAAUAAUAAAAAUAAAAAUAUCACUAGCCUCUGCAUAUUUAUUUUGAUUAUGAAGUCAUCGUUGCUUUAUGGAACCAAAAAGAUCCUCAUAUGAACGCUUAGGAGCAUCCACACGAGAAAUGAUCUCCACAACUUUGUAAGAUGAUUCGGGAUGAAGUAGUGCCUCAACAGCAACUUCUGCGACCUGAUCUCUGGAAAUGGUACCUUCAUAAAGAGUAUCCUAAAGAGAGAAUGCAAGAAUCAAAUUUGUGGUACACAUGCAAGCAUAAAAGAAAUCUGAAAGCUGGAAGUUCUUAAAUAAAUGCCCUUACUUCUGUCUCCAUGAUAAUGUUUCCAGUUGGGGGUUCAUUUCUCAAUCCACCAGGCCUUAUGAUCGUGUAGUUAAUACCAGAUUUCCUGAUGUAUUGCUCUGCCUGAAGCUUUGCUAUUAAGGUGAGGCCAAACACAUUCAGAAAAAUGUAAGCUGGAUUUAGUAUUUGCCCCAUUGCAGCUCCAUUGACUAAAAUGGAGCUAAUAAGAAUGAAUCUGUUAACGCCUCUUUUCCGGCAUGCUUCAACAAGGUUUACUGUGCCAAAAUUAUCAACCUGAAAUUCAUAAGCUACAUAAAACUACAGCGCAUAAUCUACCAAAUAGUCCGGAAGAUGAAAAUAUGAAACAACAAACUUUCAUGCAUCCAAUCAAGAUGGAGGAUUGAAUUCUGGGAUGCAUCAUGCAUGUUAACGAUAAAACCGUGGAACUUAAUAUGAAAGGCUGUAUACAUAACUCCACUAGACUAACAACGGAUUUCAUGAUUUCAAGAAUUAAUACCAAAUAUGAAACUAUAACCCCUAACCCAAUAAUCGUUUGGUAAUACACUUCUGAAGUCAUAAACAAAGAUGUAAGCAAGUAAGAUAAACACAGGUAAGAUUAAUCAUGUGCAUCCCUGUACAACAACAUGGGUGCAUUUGUCCAUGGAUUGACACAAGAACAGAUUGAAAUUUUAGAGCAACGACUGACAAGAGAAAAGGUGUGGGCAUAGUUGUACCAGCAAUUGCAAAAUGGUUGUCUUUCAACAUGGAUAUGAGUCUACGUAAUCAAAACAAGUACAGAUUAUCUACUGAAGAGAUACAAAACCAACUUGCCUUCCAAGGAGCAAACAAAUCCCAACCAGGCUGAAACCCUGUGGCACACACCACAGCUUCUGAAUCAUCGCCUAUAGCUUCUGAUAGUUUGGCAGAACCCUCUGUCACAUCUGCUUUCACCUAUCAAAAAGGAAUUCAAUACAAUUCCUAAAAUUAACAAAAAGAAAAAGCCCCAAUUAAAUUUCAAUUCCCACAAACUGACUGUGCUUGAGAAAGUUUGAGAUGCUAACAAUUUGAAGAGAUGGGUUGUCUUUGGAAAGAGUAGUUUUAGCCUUGUCCAAAUCCCGAACCCCGGCCUUGACAGCAAAACCCUUUGCUAGAAGCUGCUCAACAAUCCUUUUCCCGGAACUGCCAGUUGCUCCAGCCACAAAUAUCUUCUUCUGCUUCACACUUACAUUUUCUUCUGCUUCCUCAGUUAUUUCACUUUUUCCCAUCUAAAACAAUGAGAGCGUUGUGUAGUACAUCAAGAAUAGGAAAUUUACUAACUAAAGCCCCAAAAGAAAAAAAAAAAAAGAAAUUGAGAGUCACCUUGGUGGAGUUGAUUGAAUGCGACCAGGUUUUGGUGGUGGAAACGGAGAAAUGCUUAGUUAAUGUGAGAGUGCGGAGAGGGGGUUGGUUAGAGUUGAGAGUGCAGAGAGUGGGACAAUUUCUCAGAAUCAGAGGAGUGGCCAUAGACUACUCACUCGAUUUGUUUGUUUAGUUUUCGGGAUUUUGCUUCCUCUCAAUUUUACAAAGCCAUGGCUUUGCCACGUUGCUUCGCUUCCAAUAUGUUCUUCUUUCUUUUUCAUAUAUACANNNNNNNNNNNNNNNNNNNNNNNNNNNNNNNNNNNNNNNNNNNNNNNNNNNNNNNNNNNNNNNNNNNNNNNNNNNNNNNNNNNNNNNNNNNNNNNNNNNNNNNNNNNNNNNNNNNNNNNNNNNNAGCCACUGCUGUACGGCCAAGGCGGAUGUACGGUACAGCAGAUAUAUUAAUUCUCGCAGAAUAAAUGAAUAAAUAAAGUAAAAUAUUUACAAACCGGAAAUGGUCCAAUAUUGUGUAGGCAAAAUUAAAGGGAGAUUGUCAAUUGCCCCCCUACAGUAAUCAACAUAUAUUAUUUUCUCUCUUAUUAUUUUUAUAAUGGCCAAAAACUCCCCUGAUAGCAUAAGUUUACAAUAUUAUCCUUAUUUUCAACUACUCUUUUAUUUAUAUUUAUUAUAAAUUAAAUAAAUGACAUGAAUAGAAACUAAAUAAAAAAUUAAGCAUUAAAAACAAGAAAUAUAUGUUUUGAUAUGAGAAAAAAAUUAAUAAUAAAAUUUUUUUCUUGUACUUAUUUAUUUUGUGAAAAUUUUCUUAUAAUAAACAUUUUAUAAUAUUUUAAAAUUAAAUGUGAAAAGUACAAGUAAAAUAUUUUCUGCUGUACGGCCAAGGCGGAUGUACGGUACAGCAGAAAUAUUUUUUUUACAAAAUUCCUUUUAGAAAAACAUUAAAGUUCUUUAAAAAUUAAAAAAAUACUACAAAAAAAAUUAAAAACAUUAAACAAACAAUUUAAUUACAUUUGUCAGGGGGGUUUUUGGCAAUUAUAAAAACAGCAGAGGGGUAAAUGGUAUAUGUUAAUUACUGUAAUUAAAUUUACAAUAGACCUGUUUAAAACUCCUUUUCUAGAAUUUAUAUUUUUAACCCAAGUAAAGUUACCUGAAAAGAUAAAGAGAUAAAACGACGAUAAAUCUUUUGAUGAGGCAAAAAUUUAAUUUUUAUUAGUGAUGAAAUCAGUUUUUGUUCCAUGAAAAUUGUGCUUCUUUUUUAAAAAUUGAAGUUUUUAUUUGAUUGAGUCAAAUUAUAAAGCAUUGUUCCCCUGUGAUUGCUUUAUUAUUAUUUAAGAAAAAAAAAGAUGAACACUUUUAUAAUUUCUGUUCCCAUUUUCAAAUACCUACUCCAGAAUUCUCAUUUUUCACGAUAACACUCAUUUUCAAUCUUAAUUUCUCCAAAACGGAGAUGAUUAUAAAAAAUAAAAAUAAAAUCCAAGAGCUUUACAAAUGUCAAGAACAAAAAUCCUUUUUUUUUUUAAUUUUAUAUAAUCUUAUAAGAAUGGACAUCACUUGAUUUUGAGAUGAAAUUUAAAAGAAUGGAAGCUUAAUUAUGACCAUGGAGGUGGAAAGAAAAAUAAUAUUUAUAUAUAAGAUCUUCUUUUCUAAUUAUAAUAUCUCUUUUGAAUUUAAUGAGAAUUAUCUUUACAUUAAUAUUACCAUUACUCACAAAUAUACUUCAAAAUUAAUGUUCACAAAUUUCUUAAAAAUUUAGAUUCCACCCACAAACUAGUGGAUAGGAAAUUCUCAUCUAAAUAUAUAUAAGAAUAUUUUAUAAAAGAAGAAAUAUUCUCAUCUAAACUUGAUGGUGCGGAUCCUUUCAAGGCAAAUUCCCACAAUGCUAUGUAUCUACGUGUUAUGGGUAAUCAAGAAGCAUGGAUUUGUUUAUUAUUAAAACAAAAGGCAAACGAUUGACUCUUCCCACUUCCCAGGGCAUUCACAUUCUCAACUCGUUCGUAAUCCAUAUAAACAAGACAUGCAUAAGAACCUUAAGCGCAUUCUAGACUUACACAGCAAGCAAGAUUUUACAGUCUGGCAAAGAAUCACAAUUCAGAAUGUGCCCCAACACUUGAACAGAAAGGAAAAAUAUAACUGAAAAAGAUAUGGAUAUGGAUGGGUCAAUCUUUUCUCAUCUUUCGUUCACCUCUAGCUGGGACCAAGACAAAAACAAAUAACCUACCAAGCAUGGAACAUACCAGAUGUUGCAGGAAGUUUGCAAUACAAGAUACUAAAGAUAAAUUAAAUAUACAUUGCUUCUCUUUGGGGUAUCUAAGAACUGCGACUUCAAUAAACUGUAAUUUUCUGUUCCAGCUUUGAGCUUCCAGUUUCCUCAAGAAAAGAGAGAUUUUGUUGAUUCCCUCCGACAAUGAGCUCCGUUGGCAAUUUCCUAAUCCAAAAAUGCAAAAAGUGUUUUGUUAAAAUGAAGGGAAUCGAUUGAAUGGGAGCAAAGUAGAACCAGAUCUAUUCAAUCUCAUAAUUUAAAGGAACUACAAACCUUAUAAAAUUUUUCCAUCAUGGAUGCUCCUCUUAACAGAUCAUGAUAUCAUAUGUACGAUUCCAUCAGCUAUCAUCACUCUGUUCUCAUCUUGCAGUUUCUGAAGGACAUAGAAAGAAAUUACAGUUAAGUAGGCUUACACAGAUUGCGGGACUUGGGUAUAGAAAAUAGCUCAUGCUCACUAAAAAAAAUCAAAAUUGCGUAACUGAUUAAUUCUUGUGAAUUUAAUUAAAGAUCAACUUCACCUCUAAUAGGAAUGUUAUCUCUGCCCUUGAAUAAUGGGCAUCCAUUCCAGUGUUGACAAUUUCCUCUAGCUCUGUAAUGGUUAUCAAAUCCAAGCGAUUUGCCCUCAUAUGUUGACCAAAUACUGAAUUAAAAGCUUCCAUUCUGCGAGCCAACAAAAGAAAAGUUAACAAACUAUUAAUAGGGAGAUGUAACUGCAAAACAAAUGCAUAAAAUGGGGUAAACUUAAAUAUGAUAAAGCAAGUGCCUGCUACCAUACAGACCUUUGAGGAGAGACAUUCACACCGGAUACAGCUGCUGGAGGUUCGUCUACAUCCAUGGAACUAAUUGAAAAUAGAAAUGAAAGCAAGUCAACUUACAUAAAACAUUAUCAGAUUUACUUCAUAUUUCAUCUAUUCCCGUCGCAAUAUAAUUUCCAUUGCUGCUUUUCAUGCAACUCAAAAAAAUUCUAAGCCCAGAAAAAUAGAGAGAGAGAGAAGGUUCAAUUGCAUACUUUCAAUUUUAACUCAUCCAAUAGAACCAAAAAUACUAGAUCUUGGGAUAAUCCAUGACUUCCAAAAUUAGUGCAUUUCAACAAAAAAGCCAAGAUUAUUCUUAGGUCAUUCUCACCGUUCAUUAUCAUUAGUGCUGUGGUCUGCUCUAUCAUUUCCGCCAGGGUGCUCAGCCCUUGGAUUUUUCUCUUGUUCUCUCUGCCUUUCCUGUUCGCGCUCCUCCAUCUCAGUUAAUUCUUUGUGAUAUAUUGCAAAAUUUAGAGCUUUUAGAGCAGCUUCAACAUCAGACUUUGAAAUCUGCCAAGAUACAUUUAUCAAACACUAUUUUGUGUAGAACACUGGCGUAACAAACUCUAUUACAUACAAUCAGGUCAUUAAAACACAAGAAAGACCAGUAGAUCCUAAUUAUGAAAAAUUCCCUCUGCCCCAGUUCGAAGAAUAAAAAAAAAAUCAAAGGAUGAAUCAAUUUUUGAAAACCAAAGGAUAAAAGUGAACAGACAUUCCGCAAUAUCAUCAUUUAUCAGAUUACUGGAAAAGCAUAUUGAUACAUGACACAAUCAUGUACCUUCCUGUUCAACUUCAUUUUGGCAUGAGCAGUUGAGAGACGUAUUAUGGUUUCUAGUGUUCUGGCUGUAAUAGGAAGCGUUCCUCCAGUCUACAAAUAGCAAGCAACAUAGCUGAUGACUAAGAAAAUUAUCACUGCAAUAAUUAUGCCAAAGAUAAAUUGUAGCUAAUUACAUAUAUUGAUAAAUUGUAGCUAAUUACAUAUAUUGACCUUUGCAUUUGAACUGCUAUUUCUGAGUUCUGCAUAUGCUGUUGCAAUUUGUUCAGAUGCCUGUGAAUAAAAUAGUGAGAACGCCCUCCAGACAAAUAGCAAGCAACAUAGCUGAUUACAAAAUUUUGUUUGCACACAAGAGAAAGUCUAUAAUUUAUGUUAAAUUGGAAAGGAUGCAGCAGACAUGCAAUUUAGAAAGAUACAAAAUAUACAAGAAGAUUGACAAAAAAAAAGAAAAAAGAAAAAAAAGCUAACAAGUACAAUAAGAAUCACAACCUCGUCAGUCAGUUCAGGCUGAAUCCUAUGCUUUGCAUAGUGAAUAUACUUCUUUAGAAACUGGAUGGUGAGAGUAUCACGCUUCUGACCCCUUUGUGUUCUCUUCCCAUGCAGCAUUCGGUUAUACUUGACAAACACAGAUGCGUCGGUAUCAACUUCAUCUUCCCUUCCAUACCUUGAACUCCCAUCUAGUCCUCCCUCUCCUAUAUUAUUAAAUUAUGUUAGCAAACACUUUCAAACAUCGUUUCAAGGCCACCAGUCUGUUAAACAGAAAAAAACUUCUGAGCUACCUCCAUCCAUUACAGACCGAUACCGGUGCAUCCGUAAGACAUGAUCCGAGAUGCGUCGGUCAAUAUCGGGAUCCAUUUGAUCCAAUACAAUAAACAGUAAAUCAAAACGAGAAAGCAAAGAGUCUGGAAGUCCAAUAUUCUUUGUUGGAGUCAAUGAACGAUCAUACUGUACAUGCCACCCAGAACCAGCAUAAAAUCAAGCAAAUGAAGCAUCAGUAAGAAGAAAUAUAGUAGUUAGUAUUCACAUCCAACUUUAGUAGCCCUGAAUUACCACUUACAGUUCCAUAGAUAGGAUUAGCAGCAGCCACAACACUGCAUCGAGCAUUCAGAGAUGCAUGAAUACCAGCUUUUGCAAUGGUCACAGUCUGCUGCUCCAUGACCUCAUGUAUAGCAACACGAUCUUGAUCAUUCAUCUUGUCAAAUUCAUCAAUGCAGACAACACCUCUAUCAGCAAGUACCAUGGCACCAGCUUCUAGUCUUCUUUCCCCUGAUCAAAGUUCAUAUAUUUUCCAAUAAAAUUAACAUGUGAAGCUAAAUGACCACAAAAAAUGGUUGUAGGUUAGACCUCUUGUAAAAGACCAUUAGACCAAGGGAUCCAUCCUUCUGACCAACCUUGGAGGGAGACUUGAUUCCUUUGUUUUAUGCUAGGGAAGAGGUGGGUGGAUGAUAAGUAAAAAGGAAACAUGUAAAGCUAAAUUGCUAGAGGCAAUUGAGGUGUUUACCUGUUUCUUGAUCAGAAGUUACAGCGGCUGUCAAACCAACACCAGAAGAACCACGACCAGUGGUUGAUAUGGCCAAGGGAGCAAUAUUCAUUAUUGCUCUCAGAAGUUGUGACUUUGCAACAGAAGGAUCGCCAACCAUCAUCAUGUUAAUGUCCCUAAAAGAAACAAGACACACCAUAUGAAGAGCAUUAAGAUGUAGCCUGAAUAAAGCAAAAACUAGAUUGAAGAGUAGUUAAACACAUUUGGUCAGAACAAUGGAUGGCUGGUUAUGAUAUCCAUCAAAAACAUAUGCUGACAUAAAAGAACCGAAGCAACUCACCCUCGUAAGUGAGUGCCAUUCUUUAAAUUCUUUUCCACUCCACCAAGCAUCAAUAAAAUCACAGCUUUCUUUAUCCAUGAAUGCCCAUAUAUAGAUGGCGCUAGUGAAUUACCAAGAAGGUCAAAUGUAUCAUCUCUCUCAGCAAUCUUUUUUAUGCUUUUUAAGUCUUCAGGAGUGUAGAUAGGUGCGUUCGCUUCUUUGUUGAGCAGAGAAACAUUGUUAGCUAUCAGAACAGUCCUAUAUUGAAGGGGGAAAAGAUGUAAAGUUCAGAAGCCAAACAACAUUUUGCUGUAUAGAAAGAAAAGCAAUGUCAAUGGUAAACGACUGGAAAUACCUAAAUACUCCAUUCACACUGCCCUUGCUUUUGCCAGGAAGAGCCUUGUAUGUACCUACAAUGGCCACCCGAUCUCCAGGUUUGCAUGAAUCAACCAGGUCAUCCUCAACUAUGACAUCCACUGUUCGUGGAAGCUGACCAGGUGCAGAUUUCUCCGGCACUUCUUGCACUGAUAAGGUUUGAUGAUCUUUGUACUUGCAUAAUCCGUACUCCGUCACCAAUAAGUUACCAUGUUCAUCCUGAAACAGUAUCCUCCAUAAGGGAGUCUUGUAAACAAUAACAACAUAACUAUGAAAGCUGAAAACCUGAUAUUACCCUUGUGGGAUAUACAGAGCCAGUUGGCACACCCGUAUUUGAUGUAAUAUCUCGGUAUUCGCGAGUAAGAAAGCUCCCAGUUGUAGGACAGUAGUGAACACUUUUAACAACUUUUGGCCUUACAAGAGAACCUAAAUAUGAGAUGACUCCUAGAUUAGAUCUACACACAUCAAUAUGACAAUUAAAAAUGCAUUACUCUCAAUAUCUCCAAAAUCAUUAGUGAUUCGGCUAUGCAAAACUGAUGAGCAUAAACAAUGGCUCAAAUCAAUUGCAAAUGAUUGGAAAGUAUUAAUAUAAUAGAGUUGAAUGACAAAGCUUACAUUUAGUGACAAUGCCCUCGACACAGACCAUAGAGCCGAUGAAUUGAGAAAGAAGGUCUCUUGGAGUAACACAACGGGAAACAAACGGACCUUCAAAGCCCACAAGAAUAUGUUCUCCUUCCUUCAAGUACUUAGGGUCAAUAUUGCGUGCCCAGUCUGUCGCCGCAUCACAGAAUGGUUGCAAGUACUCGACUGGAUUCUUGAGAAGCCUAAAUUCAGCAAAAUCAUAUAAUCAAAAUCACAUUUAAAAAAGAAAAAAGAACAUAGAAAACAACCAAACAACAACUUGCCACAAAACCCAAAAUCACAUCAGAUUAACACCAAUUCAAUUAAGAUGGAUUUUUACUUUCAAAUUAGCUUCGUUGGAACAAAAAAUUAAUAAAUAACUAAAUUGCUACCCGUCUUACUAACCUGGGAGGCAAGUCUUCUCGGAAAGCGUAGAGAUCGGAGAUGUUGACGAUGAGGCGGCAGCGUUUGUGAUUGAUCAUGGCCUUGAUCUCAUCUUGGUAUAUCUAAUCAUCAACCAAAACGAGGAAAGUUUACCUCAUUGAAUGUGAAAAAAAAAAAAGAUUGCAUAAUUAACAAAAACAGACGCGAGUAAAAGAGAUGAAUACGCACACUUAGUUCUAAGAAAUCAUAAAAUUCUCGCUUGCGUUCUUGAAAUUCUUGCUGACUGAUAUCCAUUUUGUAACUACCGGAUAUGGUUCUGACUUCGGAGCUGGGGGUGGAGAGUAAAUAAAAUUGUUAGAUUAGCGAGAGAAUGACGGCGAGGGGGCCAAUGUGUACCUUUACUUUCAGCCGUGGCUGUGGUUUUGGCGGGAAAAUGAUGAAGACGGCCCUGUUUUGGCGGGACAAUUGUUGGACCAAUCCCCAUAAAUGAGCCCAAUAUUAAGUGGGCUUUUUAUUUUGGGUCAGAAUUAUCUCUUCUUUUUUAUUUAUUUUUGUCAGUAAUGAUACUUGACUUGCGCAAAUUAUCUUAUUAACCCAUUUUUUUUUAGUUUGCGUCAUUAAUUUCCGUAGUUACUCGCCUUUGCUUAGCUUUUCAUGUAGUUCCGUCUAGGUCCUUGAGUUUUACCCUCCUCCCCUUUGUAUGCUACUCUACUUGCUAUAAGGUGAAAUGAAAACGAUCAGUGGCAUUGUGGCAAAGCUAUCAAUAUUUUUUAAGGGGGGCUGAUUUUUUUUUUAAUUUCUAAUUAAAUGCUUUUCUAUUAUAGGAGAGAACUUAUUUAAAAAAAAUUGAAAAAUAAGUGAAAGCCCAAGUCGGUAUUUUGCCAUCCCUAACCAUAGUCAAGAUUUUGAAAUAUAGAACUUAAAAACAGUUACAUUUUUUUUUUUUGAGAGAAAAAACAGUUAGAUUUAAUAUGACUAGAUGAUGAUGAUGAACACAGGCACAAUCGCUAAGGUGGUGUCCAAGGUUCAACUGGUAGCGGAGCUGGGAGUUGCAGCAACGCAAAGAAGAGAAACAUAGCGGCAGAUAAUGAUGAUGAACACAGAACAGAGGAAACGGCGGUUAAAGCGAUGAAGACGAUGGUUUGCUUUGAUGAAGAGAAGAGGAAAUGGUUGGCGGCCCACGGCUAUGAGGUCUCAAAUCAGGAAAAUGUGAAUUACGCACUAGGGCAAUGCGGCUAUUUUUUUCUUUUUUAUUUAUAUUGAAAAUAAUUGUAAAAAAUUAAUAUUAAAAUAAAGAUAUCCGUGUCCGCAAUCCAAAUAUGCGGGUUAACUUAAAUAAACCAUAGCCCAUCAGCUAAGAUCUGAAAUUCCCACAUAACAAACAAUGAAGAACAGAGCCACGAGUGAUAUUAAUGCUAGACCUCGGCGGCUCAUUCUUCUGUCCACAGCAUAAUUAAAAAUCUGACAAAAUUUCAUGCCCUCUCAACUAGCCUCAUAAAUCCAAUGGUUGAAAGGAGAAAAUGGCUCAUUAUCCUGAACUAAAAUCCAACUUACAAUUAUUACAUAACUGUUACAAAAGCCUCAAAAUAAAUAUGCAGCAACUCAAUAGACAGGAUGAUGCGGCUCCUUGGCCAAUUAAUGACCAGAUCUUCUAGACUUAUGAACAGGCUGGAUGAUUCAUGGUUUGAAUGCAGAAAAUGCAACGACAGAGUUGUGCCCUCCAAAUCCAAAUGAAUUAGAGAUGGCUGAAAUAGAUUAGCUAAGUGAGUAAUCCUGGAUGCCAGCAAAAAAGAAAUUGAAAAUGAGAGUGACAUGGGAUUAAAAUGUUCCAGCAACUUACCAACAUUCACUUCAUGCUGCUGUUUUUUGUUGGCGACAGUGUCGAACUCAACUGAAGGUUCAGGGUUCUGAAUUCGUGGAAAAGAAAAUAUCAAACAUUAUGAUGGUGGGAAAUGUUUUAGAUAAAAAAAAUGAUGUAAAAUGUUUGAAAUAUUGUUCUGAUUUACUAAAAAUAGAAAUUAUCCUCAUUGCAUUGAAGAAUUAAUAACUGCAAAUUUUAGGGUUUGUACUACAUAAAGCAAAUUAUGUAAAUUGCCCAAAGCAAAAAAAGGUGUGCACAAAAAGGUAACACUCACAAAUUGAUUAAUGGAAGGAUGCAGCCAUCCCGUGGUUAUUGCCUUGACAGUGGCAAUUGCUUCCAAACCCCCAGCUGCACCAAGGCAGUGCCCUAUCAUAGACUGAAAUAUAAUGAAAACUAGUCAGAUGAAAGAGAAGCCAGCCGAUGACAAGAGAGUAUUGUAACACCUUAGCCUGCUCAAGUGCUAAAGAAAGAGUGAAUACCUUCGUGGCAUUGAUUUUGAUCCCUGUGGUGUUCUUGAACACCUUUUUAAUAGCAUUUAUCUCAGCCAGGUCACCAGCUAAAGUGGAAGUUGCGUGAGCAUUUAUGUAGUUGACCUGAAAAAGAGUGGUUCAAUUUGCUGCUUUAUGGCUUGGAAAUGAUUAACACAACUUAAGAUGAUACAAACAUGUUCACUAACAAAGAUCAGUGUUAGUGGGAGAGCCAAAGCACAAAAGCAUUCCACCGCAACAUCGCUUAUGGUCCAUAGGGCCCAACACUUCUUCAGGUUAUCAAACCAAUGUGUGCUUACAAACUACUUCACAAUUAUAAUCGAGUGUUCUUUUGCCUAAUUAUUUCUUUUUUCUUAUUUUUGCCUGAAUAUGUAAUCAGCCGAAUUAAGUUCAAAUCAGAUAAUAAGACUCAAAUGCAUCUUACCCUGAUACUGCACACUAAGACAAUGUUAUGCCAAACAACACCAUGCAACAAGACUGGUUUAUAGAAAAAAAGGGUUCACCUCCUCAGGUGACACACCAGCAUCUUCAAGGCUGCUCUCAAUGCAUGAAGACACUCCAAGUCCAUCAGCUCUGGGGUCAGUCAUAUGAUAAGCAUCACAAUUAACAGCACCCCCUAAGUACUCUGCUAUGAUCGGUGCACCUCGUUUCAUUGCAUGUUCCAAGCUCUCCAUCACCUGUCAAAAAAAAUAUAUGCAUAUGUCAACAAGCAGCUCACAAACAGCUUCUCUGCCGAGAAUGAAAAAUGUAAUUGACCCACAAACUCUAAGCAGAAGUACAAGAACAAAUAUGUAUACACUCUACCCUUAGUGUGGUAACAAUGCGAGCUUACCAAUACUCCAGCACCUUCUCCCAUGACAAAGCCAUCCCGAUCUUUGUCCCAUGGCCUAGAAGCAGUUUGUGGGUCAUCAUUUCUCUGAGACAAUGCUCUACAUGCAACAAAACCACCCAAUCCAAUAGGAAUAAUGGCUGCUUCAGUUCCACCAGCAAGCAUCAAAUCAGCCUCUCCUCGACGGAUGUGAUUGGCGGCAGCAUAAAAGCAAUAAUUGGAGGUUGCACAGGCAGUUGAAAUUGAAUAAUUUGGACCCAUGAAGCCAAGGUCAAUUGCAAGCAAAGCAGAACCCAUGUUUGUUAUAGCAUACGGAAUGAAGAACGGGGUUAUUUUUCUAUGACCUUUUUCUAUUAGAGCCUGGACUCCAUCAGAAAAGACUGUAAGACCACCCAUUCCUGUUCCCACAAGAACCCCAGCCCGUUCCUUAUCAAUCUGCAAUGAGUAUAUAAAAUGCUGGUCAAAAUUUACUCAAAGAAAGGGCGAGGGGUUAGAGGAGUUGGAAACUAAUGCGUUUUGGGCAUAUUCAGCUGGGAGACCUCAAUAUCCUCAAUUACUGAGAAGUCACACCAGAAUGCAGCGAGUUUCAAUAUGGUCGUUAAAAUGGUGUUGAAUUCCUAAUUCGAUAGACGACCACUGAUUAGUUUGAACAAAUAAUAGAAAAACAAACAUAUAAGCCAUCCAAAGAAUUCAUACAUGCAUGAAUUACUUCCAGCACAAAUCAAGCAAAUGAAAAUUUUCUAAGGGUAACUUUCUGCUUAAUUUUAAAAGCAUGGCAGCAAAAAGUAUUUAAUAAACGCUCAUUGUUACUCGCUUUAUUGGCUGCUCAUGUUUUGCACCCAACCAUGCGCUUAUAUUGAUACUUGACAGCCAGUGAUUAAAAAUCACCAAACAUGGCCAUGGAUCGAUAAUCACAAAGCAAAAUGCAAAAUCACUAUUCCAUCAAAUACGAAGUAGUUUAACUGACCUUCUUAGAAAUAUCGGCACCGAGAUCCGCAUCUUCGAGAGCCUUCUUGCCAGCAACAAUGCAGUACCUCAAACAAUCAUCAAGUCUGCGAUCAUUCUUGCCAUCAAUAUAACCCUCGGCACUAAAUCCCCGGAUCUGGCCGCCGAACCGGGUCGGGAACUUACUAGCAUCGAACCGGUCAAUCAUAGUGAUUCCACUUUCACCAUCCAACAACUUGUUAUAAUACGCAUCGACAUCAUUGCCAAACACGGAGACCAAGCCCAUUCCCGUGAUCACCACGCGCUUCUUGGGGUCCUUCUCCCGCUUGGGAGCGGAUUUGGUUGAAGAAGCAGUGAUGAAGGAGACUCUCCUUGCGGUCGGUCUCGCAUUGUUGGGGAGAUUGAAGUUGGAUUUGCUGCGAAGUGGGUUUAGUGGAGACGCGUGGAGAGAAGAGGAUUGAAGAGAUUGCAUGUUUUCUGUUUGAGGUUAUGCCUCAGUGAGCCAACAAUGAAUGAAUGAAGAAGAAGGUGGGCGAUGCAAACGAUGAGAGUCCUGUUAGUAGUUGUUAACUAGUGAGUGGGAAAUUGAAUUAAAAAUGAAACGCUUGAAAGCAGAAGCCACAGCCCCCGUGCUAAGCUGGGUUUGGCUGCUGGUGGUUGAGCAAAUGGUGAGCUCCUGUGGACUGUAGCACAUACGAUAUAUUACGUAAUCCACGUAUUAUAUCAUACACUCCCACGAUAUCCGUUUCUUCCUAUGUUUUCUUUUAUUAAUUUCUUUUCCUAGUGGGCUAAAUAAUUUUCCAAUGCUUACAAAACAAGAAAACUAGGGUGAUCUAUUUUAGAAAUAAUAAUAUUAGAAGUUUUAAUAUUUGAAUUUACGAUCCGCUAUUAUUAGCGAUUUUAACUUAGAAUGUUAAUAUUAUGUGCAACUAAUAUAUUGAAUAAUGGACUUCAAAAAAAAAAUUGAAUAAUGAAUAAUAUUAUCUUAUAUAUAAUUGUAAGAGAUCUAAUUUCGGCGAAUUGCCGUUGCCCUUAAAAAAUAUAUUUUCAGUGGACAAUUUUUAUAACUUGACCUUAAUUUUUUGGACAAAAAUGUGGUGCAACUUUUGAACGGUGCCCAAUUUUGUCUUUUAUCACUGGACUCCAUACUUUCUUUUUUAUUUAUAGUUUAUUUAUAAAUUUAUGAUAAUUUUAUUUUUUCAUUCUUCUUUCCUCUCCUCUAUAUUCAAAUAUUAUGUUUCUUUUUCUCUACUUAGAUAAUUAAUCAAUCAUUAGUCAGCAACUCCUUUCAAAUUAAAAUAUCAUUGACUAAUUAAUGAUCUCAAUUAUUUUUCACAUCACAACCAAAACAAACUGCAGCAAUUUGAUUUGAAUAUCUGGAUGACAAUUGUGAGGACAUGGCAAUUGAAUAAAUUAAAAUAACAAAUCAAAUUUUUCAGCUAUAAGUCAUUGAUGUCAUAUUGGUUUAAAUCUAUAGAUAAAGCUUAAGUUUUGUUAUUUUUGAAUAACUAAUAACUUUGAAAUUAAAUUGUAUUGUAGUUAUUUUUUAUUUUUAAAGUCUAGUCUGCAUAAAUAACUUUGAAAUUAAAUUGUAUUGUAGUUAUUUUUUAUUUAAAGUCUAGUCUGCAUACAUUUUAAAGCGGCGACUAGUGUAAGAAAAGAAGAUAAAAUACAAAGAUUUUAUAAUUAUUCAUUUAAUAUUUUAUUUUAGUAAUGUCAUGCUAGUUUUAUUUUAUAAGCUAAUUUAUUAAUUGAAUUUUAAUGUGAAAUCAUUACUUAUCUCACUUUUUAAAUUAAAAAAAUAGAGUUAGAUAUUGAUAUUUAUUUUUAUGUCUAAUUUUUUUAACUUGAGACGGCUUACCCAUUUUCUAAUUGUUUAAAUUAUUUACAAAUUUAAUACAAUCUGGAUUUAUGAUUCAGAAUUUCGAAACAUUUGAUUUUUUUAAAUUUUCAGGAUACAAUUUGUAGCGUUAAUUACCAAACUACAGAAUCCUAUAGUUGAAUCUACUCGCACAUUAAAUCUAACGGUGAAAACACAAGAAGACAAAAUAGGGGGUAGCUAGACCUAAUUUUUAAGCCAUUUCUGUCAAAAAAAUCCUAAAAUGAUAAAACGCCGCGUUUUGGAUUGAUAGUUAGUUUCUCCUCUAUACGCCGCGGUUCAGAAAGUUUCUCCUCGUUAACGCAGAGCUCUCAGAGUGAAGAAGAGAGAGAGGAGAAAUGGCGAAGAAAGCAGCAAACGAAUCGAAGGAAUCGCAGUCUUCAUCAGCUUCCAAUCUGUACUCUUCUCUAAUCUUAUUCUCUUUGUAUGAUAAGCAUAAAUUUUCAAAAUUUCAGAUAUAUUUAUAAUCCUUCAUUUAUUUACUUUUUAUGUUGAAAGGAGCUAUUAGACACAGUUGGCCUAAGGGUUCUGUAGUUUUCACUUUAAUAAAACGAAAUUUUAACAAAACGAUGGUGACGGAAUUGGGUGUUACUUUGCAAUUGGGCUAGGAAAAUGGUGUUGAGAAAGAGGCCGACACGACACAGUGUAGUUGCUGCUGUUGGUAUUGAGAAAGAGGGGAAAUCCAUUUCAGCAAAGAGAGUGACAACGAAGCUGAAGAAGAAACACGAGAAGCUUGAUUCUAAGAUGCCCAAGAAACCCCCCACUGCUUUCUUCUACUUCCUGUAUGUGUUUUAGUUCGCUUUGUUUUAUUCGCAAAUCAUUUGUUUUGAUUCUGUUUUGUAUUGAAUAAUAGGCUAUUAGCUUGUUGUUGCUCAAUUUGGAGUAUUCAUUUGUUGUUUCAGUAUCAUAAAAUGUGAAGAUAAUUGUCAGGGUUUACACUUGUGCCUUUUGAUGCUUUUAAAAUUGCUGAUUAGAGGAUAAUAUUUGCAAGGCCUAGAAGAGAAGAGAACUACUCUGACAUAUGCUAAACUACAGAUCUUAUUGGGAUUUCGAUCUAUUAAUUGAAUUCUACUCUUUUAACUUUCAAGGGAGGAUUUUCGUAAGGGAUUCCAAGAGCAGAAUCCGGACAUCAAGUCAAUGCGUGCUGUAUGUACUAGAUUUCUUCUUAUAUCUUGCAAAAGUCUCACUUUCUCUGUGCUAUGAUUAAUGUAUUAAUUUAUAUGUAUAUGUUCUUCAGAUUGGCAAGGCUUGUGGAGAGAAAUGGAAAACUAUGACAUAUGAGGUGGGUGGCAUGUUUGUUUAGAUAAUCAUGAGUGACUUGGUGUUAAAGUAGGGUCAGUUCUAGAUUUUCUAUGGGCCUUUCGUCAUUUACGUGGAUAUUUUUAGACUAUGCAUGUGCCAGUAAUCUUGUCUGUAAGUUUAAGUUAAUUUGUACGUUUACGUGAAACAUAUCCAAUUGCAAAGGACGAAGUUAGAUACUAGUAUGUAUCCUUCAAUGAAUUUCCAAGAUUGAAAGGAUGGUUGUGGUUGUAAGAACUAACCUUUCGUCUGUAUUUCCUGCCUGUAGGAAAAAGUUAAAUAUUAUGAUAUAGCCACUGAGAAACGAGCUGAGUUUGACAGAGCCAUGGCUGACUACAUCAAGAGAAAGGUGACAGCUUUGCAUUGUUUGUCACAUCUGUUAAAACUUUUAUCAUUUUUUCUCAUUCUGCUCAGUUGCAUAAUGCUAAGUUGAUUUUCUUCAAUAAAUAUGUAAUUAUUUCAGGAAAAUGGCAAAGUUGAGAACAGUGAAGAAGACUCUGAGUUUGAUGAGUAUGAGUAGGGUUGUUAUUGUAUUAUUAGUACAAUGUUUCACGAGGAAUAGAAGGAACUGGGUUACUAGUUGUAUAUCAGUUUAUGGGGAUCACUAUUGAAUUCACAAAUUGCUUUUCAAUUUUGUUCCUGUCUGUACUAUCCUUGUAAAUUAGGUCUUGGCAAUUGCAUUGAGGUUAUCCUGGAUGCAGAUUUGACAAUUAAGGUGAUUAUUAUUAUUCUAGUUCAGUAGUUUGUGUUCAUGAGUGAACUCAUAUUUUGGGUUGAAACGUAAGUAGCUACGAAGUGGAGAUCAAAGCUUAUUUAUUUAUUUUUAAGUUAUAUUUUAGCAAUUAGAAAUGAGGUGUGGUCAAAUGUAUUAAAUAUUUGGAAAAGAAUUAAUGCUCAUCAACCGCUAAUCAUUUCAAUCAUAUAAUAUAAUUGAUAUAUUUGUCAGAAUCUAACUAAUGUGGGGAUGGAUGAAGACAUCAAGUGAGACAGAUGACCGUGUGACCGCAAAAUCAGAAUCUGGUUCUGGUUCCAACUACUCAAAAGUUGUCGAAAACAAAAUCCCAACGAACAAAACGAUACCCUAAUUAGAGCUGACAACCAAAAUAAUUUACCUAUGAAUAUGCACUCUUUAACCGAACUCCGGUUUUGUUUUCUUUUUCCUUUCUCCCCCAGUUCCUGGCCAUAUCAGGAGGACCCAACGGUGGUGUGCACGGGGUGAAUUUGCUCAAGAAGCCAAGCUUGAGGGGAAAAAAAUGGUCACAAAUGUAUAUGAAAACCAUAGUAAUUUUUCCAAUACAUGUAUCAUUCUUAAUGUAACCACCACAAAUGGCAUCUGGCCAAGCAAAAACCCUCUCUUUGAACCCAUCCCUCUCCUUAUUGUGCAGCUUGCCUUCAUCAUUACGAUCACUCGCUCUCUUUACUUCAUUCUCAGACCUCUCCGUCAACCCCGUCUGGUCACAGAUAUUCUUGUAAGUAAGACUGUUCCUUCAAAUCUUUUUCACUUUUAUUAAAAUUCUACCCUUUGUACAAAUAUUGCUAAAAGAUGGAAAAAACAAUUGUCAAUUCCAAUGCAUGGAUUAUGCAUAAUUUUUCUUUUAGGAAUUCUCUGUACAUAGAGCUCCAGGUUCUGAAUUUCUUUUUAAACCCAAAAAAAAAAAACUAUAGUUUGUGGAAUUAAAUUCCUUUUGCUGUUUGUCAGAAAUAACCAAUUAACAAUGUGAAAUAUUCAUUUUAUAUAGGGUGGUUUGUUGUUAGGUCCAUCAUUUUUUGGAACUAUAGUUUGUGGAAUUAAAUUCCUUUUGACUAUAGUUUGUGGAAUUAAAUUCCUUUUGCUGUUUGUCAGAAAUAACCAAUUAACAAUGUGAAAUAUUCAUUUUAUAUAGGGUGGUUUGUUGUUAGGUCCAUCAUUUUUUGGAAGGAAAGCAUACUUCUCCAAAUUAUUUCCUGUGCGAUCAGUGACGACGUUGGAGACAGUAGCAUACAUGGCCUUGGAUUUGUACAUAUUCUUGAUUGGUUUAGAGAUGGACGUAAAUUCUAUUAAGAGUUCCGCCAAGAGAGAAUUGAACAUAGCAGCUGCUGGAGCUUUGAUUCCAAUGGGUGUGGGAGCUGGUUUGUUUUUCCUCACAGCCCGCCUCUUGCAUCUCCCUACUGAUCCCAGCGGAUGCCUGUUCUGGGGCCUCACGCUCACUGUCACAGGCUUCCCUGCCGUUACUUGGAUUCUGGGAGAACUCAAGCUCCUUCAAACAGAUAUUGGACGUUUAGCUACGUCUAUUGCUAUGAUCAGUGAUGUUUGCUCCUGGAUUCUGGUGGCAGUUGUGUUACCAAUACGUUCUAGUCCUGAAAAUGCCCCUGCUGCUAUCAUUUCGACUAUUGCCUUCAGUUUAACAUGCAUCUAUGCAGUGCGUCCAGGCCUGGAGUGGCUUAUUCGCCGCACUUCAAAAGGAAACAACAAUGCUUACAGCGAUUCCUAUUUGUGCUUUUUUCUUAUUGGGGUUGUAAUUUGCUCAUUUGUUACGGAAGUUACUGGCACGUUCUCAAUUGUGGGGGCAUUUGUUUUCGGAAUUAUAAUGCCGGAUAGGGAUCUGGGCGCUUUGCUUUUUGAGAGGUUUGCGGACUUUGUAUCUGGGAUUAUGCUGCCGCUGUUCUUUGCAAUGUGUGGGAUAAGAACUAAUGUUCAUAAGGUCCAUAAUUGGUUCCUGGCUGGGUUUGUUAUAAUCUUGACUUGUUUUUGUAAGAUUCUGGGUACUCUCUUGGUUUCUCACUCCUACCACAUGCCAUUGCAAGAUAGAUUGGCUCUUGGCGUACUUAUGAACACCAAAGGUAUAUUGGCCGUGGUCGUGCUUAACCUCGGCUGGGACAAAAAGGUUAGUUAAUAAUUUUCUCUCUCGGUUGUCAAGACUUUGUCUGGAUUGGAUUCAGUGUAUAUAUAUAUAUAUAUAUAUAAAAUCUCUUUCUUAGUUUAAGAACCAUAUAAAUUAAAAAAAAAGGCAAAAAAUAUUGGGCUCUUCUUAAGUUAGUACUAUAUAUACUUUUGAUUCCAAAGAACAAUCAAGAAGAGUAUUAGUAAUCUGAUCUGUCAGGUUUUGCACGACCAAGAGUAUGCUGUCAUGGUGAUAGCUAUCGUGAUAAUGACCGGCGGAGUUGCGCCUAUCAUUUCUACAAUGUACAGGUCCUCAACGCGUAUUAUCAAAUACAAGGGCAGGAGCAUACAGCGCGCAAAACAAGGAGCUGAGCUCCGAAUUCUUGCAUGCGUCCACGGUGUUGGCAAUGUACUAGGCACAAUCAACCUCCUCGAGCUCUCCAAUGCCACCAAAGAAUCCCCUCUCUGCAUCUUCGCCCUCCACCUUGUUGAGCUCAGAGGCAGCGCUUCUGCCGUGCUCAUUGUCCACACCUCGAGCAAGAACUCCGCAUACAAGCGCGUUGGGAGUUCCCCGUCGGACCGAAUCGUCAAUAUAUUUGAAGCCUUUGAAAACCGGAGCACAGGCAUCUCGGUUCAUCCCCUCACUGCAAUGUCACCUUUCAUCACUAUGCACGAAGACGUAUGCAAUCUCGCAGAAGACAAGCACAUAGCGUUCAUGAUUCUUCCUUUUCAUAAUCAAGCCGGUAACAGCAACGGCGAUACAACAGGGUCAUCACCCUUUCGUGAAGUGAACAAGAAUAUCUUAGCCAAUGCACCAUGUUCUGUGGGAAUCUUCGUGGACAAAGGACAAGGCAAAUCCGACAACGGGAGGAUGCAACAUGUGGUCAUGGUUUUCAUCGGCGGCCCAGACGACCGCGAAGCGUUAGCACUUGCGUGGAGAAUGUCAGCGAACCCGUCGGUUCAACUAACCGUUCUGCGGCUUCACUCUAGAUACAACAACAAUGUGAAGGAAGAAGAUAUCCGAUAUUCGAAAUGUAUUGAUGGAAGGCAAAGCCAGGUUGAUGCGGAGUUUGUAAACGAGUUCAGGCUACAGACUGCGGGCGAGCACAACGUGAAUUAUUAUGAAAAGGUAGUGAAUAAUCGAGAAGAGACAACAGGUGCCUUAAGAGAGAUGGAACUUCAGAAGGUUGGUUUAUACAUUGUAGGAAGAGAAGUUAUGGCGUCGGCGGCCACGGCUGAUUUAUUGGGCUGGAGUGAGUGCCCGGAGAUUGGAGCUAUUGGGGAUUUGUUAGUUUAUUCAGAUUUUAUUCGUGCCUCUGUUCUGGUUGUCCAACACUAUCCUGGCGAUGAUGGGGAAGUGGGUGCUGUCUCAAUGCGACGCUCCAACCAUGGGUUAUUAUUUGUGGACGAUUAGAUCAUAGAUCCAGUUAGCUCAAUUUCAAUUAAUUCGUUCAAUGUCGUCAGCUGAUGCAUUAAGUUUUGUUUUGAGUGGUAUAACAUUGAUUUUACUGAGAUUGGGACGGAUGAAAGUGAAACGAAAUUGCCUUAGAAUCAACUAUGUCCGCAACAUUUGACUUUUUUAAAAACUAUAAUCUUCAAAAUUGAAAUAGGAGAUUCUAGUGGCUGAUUUCUCUGGUCGUCUGAAACGCUGCCGCUUACUAGAUUUAAUGUAGGAUCCGUUCCGUUUGGAUGAUAUUUGCGGGUUUUCGGGUUUAAAAAUCUCUGUCUCCAAUAACUGGAUUGAAGGAUUCCAAUUUGACAGCCCAGAAAACUAAGUAAAUUGGAAGAAUUUCUGGCUGCCAAGUCAAACUUAAUUAGGUACCGUAGUUAGGCCCCUUUCUCGUGGCAUCUUGAAUUUAUUAGGCUUUAAAUUGCGCACAAUGUACUACACUGUAAUUAGAAAUAAACUACUCUGUCUUAUCGUGCAAGUGUGUGGUUAGUUAGAAUUUCACUUAUUUCAAUAGUGUUUCGACUCAUUACUUCUUGCUUACCUACAAUGUGAUGUACGUAUUCGAAAUUUUCUAAUAUAAGAUUUAAAAAUUUUUAAAAUGUAAGAAAAUUCUGAAAAAUUUUAAAAUCUUAUGAUUUUAAAGUGUUAUUUUAAUAAUACUUUAACAUUAUGCAGUUUUAAAAAAUUUUCAAACUUUUCCACAUUUUAAAAUUCUGAAAAAAAAAACUAUAAUAUAUAUAUGGUACAUAUUUCGUCUAUUUGACCUUAAGUUUGCAAAAAUUACUGGACACUGUAAAACAAUAAGGCUCCCCAUGAAGAGCCCAGCGAGCUUAAUAGAAUAGCUUUGUCAGGCCUAGUUACAGCAAGACGGUUGACAUUGGAGAUUUUGUUAUUUUCUUCCUCCAAAGAUGAUGAAGUUUUACUUUUCUUUUCUUUUCUUUUUUUGAGAAAAAAAAAUUAGAAAGAAAAUUAGAAAGAAUUUUUAAAAAAAAAAAAAACUAAAUUUGCACCCCUACGAAUUCAAUUCUAAGUUUCUAAACAUAUUGGAGAGCUGUAAGAAGACAAAUUAGCAAGGUUUACACCACCACGGAAAGUGGCAUUGGCCGAUUGGCGUGGAGAAAAAUUAACACUUAAUUUAUGAGAAUAUUUUAGCUAAUCAAGGCUAGAGACACGGAGGGAGAAGUAACAUAACUCUCUGCCAAGAUCCGUUCAUAGAAAGAAGUUACAUCUCACUUAAUUUUUUUUAUAAAAAUUUCUUGGAUGUAUUUAUGCAAAUUAGCUUCUGCCCACGGCCCCCGCAAAGCUUCAGAGCCCAAAUUACGGCCACCACCAUAGCCCCAGCAAUUAGAAAACGAAUUAAGUACGAAGGACCAAAGGAGGCGAUCACGAAUCAGAUCCAAUCAGAAACUUCCCCCAACUCUCUCUUCUUCUUUCCACAAACCCAAUUCCAAAUCCAAGGCGUAACUUAAAAGUUAAACAACAUAACCUCAUUAAAAGAUCCAAAAUGAAAAUUGUAUGCCAUAAAAUAAAUGGAUACGUAAAGAGAAAGAAAAAGGGUCAAAAGUGACAGCCGCAACAAAGAAAGAAGAAACAGGCGGUGGCAACCAAAACAACAGCUUCAAAAACGGAAACAAUCUUGAAGAGAACAUCAUCGAAGAAAGAGAUCUGAAGAUUGAGUCUCUUCCACUUUCCCAGAAACUUCCAUCUCAGAGACUCCCUCUUUAUCAGCCUCUUAAAUAAAACCCAUCUCCUGUUAAGCCUCUUUAUGCCUGUGCUCGUGCUCGUGCUCGUGCUCGUGCUCGUGCUUUCCAUAUGAUAUGUGAUACAAUCACCGAACUAUCGGCCCUUUGCUUCUGCCUUCUGGUCUCUGGUUGUUGUUCGUUCACAUUAGAAUAAUGAGAGCGUCAAAAUUAUGGUGCUUAUAUAAAAGACUCUGAAAGUUGAAUUUCUUCAGGGACACGGUUCAUAUUUCAUAAAGAUGUGAGGGUAUUUUUUUCCUACUUGGUUAUUCGUCGAGGGUGGUUUGGUAAUUUGUGUGGCGGGUGUGCAAGAAUAACUGUUCCGCGUUUUGAUGGGUCAAACUCAAC